ACCUGUAACGGGUCUUCGUAAGAAAGCGCUCCGUCAUCCCCGCUCAACUUCCUGUCUAUACUUCAGCAGGAGCCCGGUUCGAGUUCUGUGGUGUCCUUUAAUCCACUCACUUGGGUAACCAGUGAUGCUGGAGGGACCUAAGCAAUGGAUACAACUUGAUGAGGGAAGCAAUUCCGCAAUCGGGUAUCCACCAUGGAACGGCGGCGCCGGAUUACUCCUAUUGGGGUUGGAAGUCGAUCGGCGGGCUGGUGUGUUGACUUACAUUU
rnacentral:SRP_RNA from 1 species